rnacentral:rRNA from 1 species
AUUCCUGGUGUAGCGGUGAAAAUGCGUAGAUAUCAGGAAGAACACCGAUGGCGAAGGCAGUCUACUGGUCCAUUACUGACGCUCAUGCUCGAAAGCGUGGGGAUCAAACAGGAUUAGAUACCCUGGUAGUCCACGCCCUAAACGAUGGAUACUCGAUGUCGUGCCGCAAGGCUCGGUGUCUAAGCAAACGCAUUAAGUAUCCCACCUGGGAAGUACGAUCGCAAGGUUGAAACUCAAAGGAAUUGACGGGGGCCCGCACAAGCAGUGGAGCAUGUGGUUUAAUUCGAUGCAACGCGAAGAACCUUACCUGGGUUUGAAAGGCAAGUGACAACCGAUGAAAGUCGGUCUUGUAGCAAUACACACUUGUACAGGUGCUGCAUGGCUGUCGUCAGCUCGUGCCGUGAGGUGUUAGGUUAAGUCCUGCAACGAGCGCAACCCCUGCACUUAGUUGCCAUCAGGUCAAGCUGGGCACUCUAGGUGGACUGCCUACGCAAGUAGUGAGGAAGGCGGGGAUGACGUCAAGUCCUCAUGGCCCUUACACCCAGGGCCACACACGUGCUACAAUGGCCACUACAAUGGGCUGCAAGAUCGCAAGGUUGAGCCAAUCCCAUAAAAGUGGUCUCAGUUCGGAUUGAGGGCUGCAACUCGCCCUCAUGAAGCUGGAAUUGCUAGUAAUCGCGGAUCAGCACGCCGCGGUGAAUACGUUCCCGGGCCUUGUACACACCGCCCGUCAAGCCAUGGAAGCUGGGGGUACCCGAAGUCGUUUACCCAACCGCAAGGAGGGUGACGCCUAAGGCAAAACCAGUGACUGGGGCUAAGUCGUAACAAGGUA